rnacentral:rRNA from 1 species
AAUACUGACGCUGAGGCACGAAAGCUGGGGAGCAAACUAGGAUUAGAUACCCUGGUAGUCCACGCCUAAACGAUGAAUACUAGAUGUUUGGUACCUAGCGUACUGAGUGUCGUAGCGUAACGCGAUAAGUAUUCCGCCUGGGAAGUACGGCCGCAAGGUUAAAACUCAAAGGAAUUGACGGGGGCCCGCACAAGCGGUGGAGCAUGUGGUUUAAUUCGAUGCAACGCGAAGAACCUUAACCUGGGCUUGACAU